rnacentral:rRNA from 1 species
UACGAAGGGGGCUAGCGUUGUUCGGAUUUACUGGGCGUAAAGCGCACGUAGGCGGAUCGAUCAGUCAGGGGUGAAAUCCCAGAGCUCAACUCUGGAACUGCCUUUGAUACUGUCGAUCUGGAGUAUGGAAGAGGUGAGUGGAAUUCCGAGUGUAGAGGUGAAAUUCGUAGAUAUUCGGAGGAACACCAGUGGCGAAGGCGGCCAACUGGUCCGAUACUGACGCUGAGGCGCGAAAGCGUGGGGAGCAAACAGG